UAGGGAAUCUUCGGCAAUGGACGAAAGUCUGACCGAGCAACGCCGCGUGAGUGAAGAAGGUUUUCGGAUCGUAAAACUCUGUUGUUAGAGAAGAACAAGGACGUUAGUAACUGAACGUCCCCUGACGGUAUCUAACCAGAAAGCCACGGCUAACUACGUGCCAGCAGCCGCGGUAAUACGUAGGUGGCAAGCGUUGUCCGGAUUUAUUGGGAGUAAAGCGAGCGCAGGCGGUUUCUUAAGUCUGAUGUGAAAGCCCCCGGCUCAACCGGGGAGGGUCAUUGGAAACUGGGAGACUUGAGUGCAGAAGAGGAGAGUGGAAUUCCAUGUGUAGCGGUGAAAUGCGUAGAUAUAUGGAGGAACACCAGUGGCGAAGGCGGCUCUCUGGUCUGUAACUGACGCUGAGGCUCGAAAGCGUGGGGAGCAAACAGG
rnacentral:rRNA from 1 species